AUUGAACGCUGGCGGCAUGCUUUACACAUGCAAGUCGAACGGUAACAGGUUAAGCUGACGAGUGGCGAACGGGUGAGUAAUGCAUCGGAACGUGCCCGGUCGUGGGGGAUAACGCAGCGAAAGCUGCGCUAAUACCGCAUACGAUCUGAGGAUGAAAGCGGGGGACCGUAAGGCUUCGCGCGAUCGGAGCGGCCGAUGUCAGAUUAGGUAGUUGGUGGGGUAAAGGCGCACCAAGCCAACGAUCUGUAGCUGGUCUGAGAGGACGACCAGCCCCACUGGGACUGAGACACGGCCCAGACUCCGACGGGAGGCAGCAGUGGGGAAUUUUGGACAAUGGGCGAAAGCCUGAUCCAGCAAUGCCGCGUGCAGGAAGAAGGCCUUCGGGUUGUAAACUGCUUUUGUACGGAGCGAAAAGGUCUCCUCUAAUACAGGGGGCUCAUGACGGUACCGUAAGAAUAAGCACCGGCUAACUACGUGCCAGCCGCCGCAGUAA
rnacentral:rRNA from 1 species